GACGAACGCUGGCGGCGUGCUUAACACAUGCAAGUCGUACGGUAAGGCCCUUUCGGGGGUACACGAGUGGCGAACGGGUGAGUAACACGUGAGUAACCUGCCCACAACUUUGGGAUAACGCUAGGAAACUGGUGCUAAUACUGGAUAUGUGCUCCUGCUGCAUGGUGGGGGUUGGAAAGCUCCGGCGGUUGUGGAUGGACUCGCGGCCUAUCAGCUUGUUGGUGGGGUAGUGGCCUACCAAGGCGGCGACGGGUAGCCGGCCUGAGAGGGUGACCGGCCACCCCGGCACUGAGAGGGGGGCCAGGGGGCGACGGGAGGCAGGAGUAGGGAAUGUGCCGCAAUGGGCGAAAGGCGGACGGGGCAACGCCGCGUGAGUGAUGAAGGCAUGCGGAUCGUAAAACUCUGUUAGUAGGGAAGAACAAAUGGGGAAGGAACUAUGCACGUCUUGACGGUACCGAAUCAGAAGGCCACGGCUAACUACGUG
rnacentral:rRNA from 1 species